rnacentral:rRNA from 1 species
GACGAACGCUGGCGGCGUGCUUAACACAUGCAAGUCGAACGGAAAGGCCCUGCUUUUGUGGGGUGCUCGAGUGGCGAACGGGUGAGUAACACGUGAGUAACCUGCCCUUGACUUUGGGAUAACUUCAGGAAACUGGGGCUAAUACCGGAUAGGAGCUCCUGCUGCAUGGUGGGGGUUGGAAAGUUUCGGCGGUUGGGGAUGGACUCGCGGCUUAUCAGCUUGUUGGUGGGGUAGUGGCUUACCGAGGCUUUGACGGGUAGCCGGCCUGAGAGGGUGACCGGCCACAUUGGGACUGAGAUACGGCCCAGACUCCUACGGGAGGCAGCAGUGGGGAAUAUUGCACAAUGGGCAGAAGCCUGAUGCAGCAACGCCGCGUGCGGGAUGACGGCCUUCGGGUUGUAAACCGCUUUCGCCUGUGACGAAGCGUGAGUGACGGUAAUGGGUAAAGAAGCACCGGCUAACUACGUG